UACGGAAGGCAGCAGUGGGGAAUAUUGCACAAUGGGCGCAAGCCUGAUGCAGCCAUGCUGCGUGUAUGAAGAAGGCCUUCGGGUUGUAAAGUACUUUCAGUCGUGAGGAAGGUGUUAAGGUUAAUAACCUUAGCAAUUGACGUUAGCGACAGAAGAAGCACCGGCUAACUCCGUGCCAGCAGCCGCGGUAAUACGGAGGGUGCGAGCGUUAAUCGGAAUUACUGGGCGUAAAGGGCACGCAGGCGGUUAAUUAAGUUGGAUGUGAAAUCCCCGGGCUUAACCUGGGAAUGGCAUUCAAGACUGGUUAGCUAGAGUCUUGUAGAGGGGGUAGAAUUCCAUGUGUAGCGGUGAAAUGCGUAGAGAUGUGGAGGAAUACCGGUGGCGAAGGCGGCCCCUGGACAAAGGCUGACGCUCAUGUGCGAAAGCGUGGGGAGCAAACAGGGAUUAGAUACC
rnacentral:rRNA from 1 species